rnacentral:rRNA from 1 species
AUUGAACGCUGGCGGCAUGCCUUACACAUGCAAGUCGAACGGUAACGGGCCUUCGGGUGCCGACGAGUGGCGAACGGGUGAGUAACGUAUCGGAACGUACCUUUCAGUGGGGGAUAACGUAGCGAAAGUUACGCUAAUACCGCAUAUUCUGUGAGCAGGACAGCAGGGGAUCGCAAGACCUUGCGCUGAUUGAGAGGCCGAUAUCAGAUUAGCUAGUUGGUGAGGUAAAGGCUCACCAAGGCGACGAUCUGUAGCGGGUCUGAGAGGAUGAUCCGCCACACUGGAACUGAGACACGGUCCAGACUCCUACGGGAGGCAGCAGUGGGGAAUUUUGGACAAUGGGGGCAACCCUGAUCCAGCCAUGCCGCGUGAGUGAAGAAGGCCUUCGGGUUGUAAAGCUCUUUCAGCCGGGAAGAAAUCGCAUCAGCUAAUACCUGGUGUGGAUGACGGUACCGGAAUAAGAAGCACCGGCUAACUACGUGCCAGCCGCCGCCGUAAGAC